rfam:Ictidomys tridecemlineatus contig006186, whole genome shotgun sequence.
GGGGUUGUGGCUCAGUGGUAGAGCACUUGCCUUGCAUGUGUGGGGAACUGGGUUCGAUCCUCAGCACCA